AUAGUAUAACUGAGUUGUGAUAUAUCCUCUUAAAAUAUGCUGAACCCCAAAUUUAGGGCCCCCAUCCUUGCUCGGCCACUCUGCGUAAAGACAUGACAAUAACUUGAAUUAGGAAAGGUUUAGUAUGUUGAAUUGAUUCUAAUGAUCUCUGUUGUGUUUUUUGUUUAUGAGAAGUAAAGAACAUAAUUGCAUUUGUUUUGUUAAUUGCCUGAUACAGAAACAACAUGGGUCGUGGUGAUCAAGGGGGAGUGGCUCCAUUAAGAAUCAAAGAAAACACCAAGCUUGGAUAUGGAGCUUCAGUUUAAAGAAAACACACUGUUCAUUUGUUAAAUCCCAGAAAUUGAAGAGAACUAGCGGGAAUGUUGAGUAAAAACAUGGGGAGAAAUCACAAAGUUUAUUCACGCUCUGAGGAAAAUCAAAGCUUGGAAGAAAUUGAUUUUUUCAAAAGAAGAUGAAGUGAAGUUGAAUUGUUUGAGACAAAAUGAGUCUAUAUCAUCUGAAAAUCAGAGAAACGACGAGGGUCUCAAUAAGGGAGCUCGGAAAACUGAGUUUGAAGAAUUUCUUAAAUUAGAAGUGUCGAAAACCAGCUUAAGUGCAGAGGAAGAUUUGGAAUUGGAGAGGAAACUGCAAAGAAAUUCAAGGUGAAAAAUGGCAAAAUAAGGGGAGAGGAUGUGGAUUAAAUGUAUUGAAGGAUCAUGUUUUCGAUUUCUUUGUGGAAGAAGAAAUGUCCAAUGUUGAAGAACAACCUAUCAAGAAGAAAUGCAAGAUGCCAAAGUUAUUGGGACAAGGACUUGAAGGCAAGGCAACAGUGAUAGUGACUUAAAAGUUAAGACCUGAACAGUGUCAGGAGGAAUAGCAACUAGCCGGAUAGGUUCCAAAUAGGAAUCUGUCCUAGUCACCAUUCUUAUUCUUAAAUUUUAGAAACGGCUGGUUCUAAUUCUGGUUUGGAUUCUUUUUUUUAAUCAAGGAAAUCGAAACCCCUUACCUCUAAA